AAAGAAAGUGGUGUACUACUACCUAAUAAAAUUUAUGUAGUACAGAUUUGACAGUACAGACAUAUUUUGCUUUGCGCCUCAUGCUGAUUGUGUAGUACAUAUCCAAAUGGCAUACAAAUGGCUACAUUAUGCUAACGACCCCUGAUAAGCUGUGACAGACCAAUCUCAAUUCUAAGGGAGUAGGGCAAUGUUUGAAGAACAUAAUUGGAACAAUUAAUGGGCUCGUCCAUUAGAGACUGCAAAGAAGCUUCACUAGUCCUUUUUCAGCCGUUGGCAUCUCGCGAAAGUGAAAUCCAUCUGGAAAUGCAGGAGUUGUAUUUGUAUUUGCAUCGCCAGGGGCCAGGGCUAAUCAGUAAUGGCCUUAUCGCUGACAAGCUGGAUGCCUUAUCUUUUGCUGGUUGGAUGAUGGGCUUUGUCCGUCAGAACUCGUGGUUGGCCAGAAUGGCUGCGGGACCAUAAUAUCUAUCGUAUCAAAUCAAAUGAAAUCACUUUUUUCCUGCUCACCUCUGUUCCAGCCUUGAAACAACCAACCUUUGUCCUGAUUACAUUACACCUGGCUUUUAAUAGAGUUGAAUAACCACAACUAUGUCCAAGUCCAAAUACAAGAAAGAAAAACCAUACCUGUCUAUUAUUUGGAUAGAGAGGAACUUUUAUCACAUAGUAACACACCUGGCUUUCAUUUUUUUUUCCCUUUUUGGGGUUUUCCAAAUGUAGGGCCAAACUACAACCAUUCAAUUGAUUUUAGUGACUAAUUGGCUAGAUAGUGUUGGUUUGUAGGCUCCACCUCAGAUUGUGCUUUGCACCAGGAUUUCGAUGACCUCUGAGUGUUAAUCUAACUUUGUUGUGUUAUUUUCAGUAAUUUCGAUUGUUGAAAAAAAAUUGAUUUUAGUGGCAGCGAUAUUUUUGUUUCAUUUUGGCGUAGAUGUACACCAUUCGACAUUUAGAUAUUUCAAUUUCCUACAAAUUCCAAAUGUAUAAUUCAUUGGAGAGAAAUUAGGUUUCUGUUAGCCAUAAUUAAUUUGCAAGUAUACAAACCAGCUAAUCAUCACGCCAAAAAUUAGUUUUUUUAUCAUUGUAGAUUUCAAAUGCAAGGCUAAGCAUAAUAAUUACUAAUUAGUGUGUUUUUUUUCCCUUUUCAAGAAUCCUCAUUUAUUAUCUACCUAUAUAGUAAAAGCACGAAUGGGUUUUCUGAGGA